CGGUUAAAAAGCUCGUAGUUGGAUUUCUGUCUGGGAUGGUCGGUCCGCACUUUGUGCGUGCAUCUGAUGCGUCCUCGGCAUCCUUCUGAAGGACAUUGUACUUUAUUGUAUGAUGGAUUUCAGAACUUUUACUUUGAGGAAAUUAGAGUGUUCACAGCAAGCAAGCGCUUUGAAUACAUUAGCAUGGAAUAAUAAUAUGGGACCUUCAGUACUAUUUUGUUGGUUUCUAGAGCUGAGGUAAUGAUUAAUAGGGACAGUUGGGGGCAUUCGUAUUAACGCGUCAGAGGUGGAAUUCUUGGAUUGCGUUACGACGAACUACUGCGAAAGCAUUUGCCAAGGAUGUUUUCAUUGAUCAAGAACGAAAGUAUGGGGAUCGAAGACGAUUAGAUACCGUCGUAGUCUAUACCAUAAGCUAUGCCGACUAGAGAUUGGAGGUCGUUUUUUUAUGACUCCUUCAGCACCUUAUGAGAAAUCAAAGUCUUUGGGUUCCGGGGGGAGUAUGGUCGCAAGGCUGAAACUUAAAGGAAUUGACGGAAGGGCACCACCAGGAGUGGAGCCUGCGGCUUAAUUUGACUCAACACGGGAAAACUUACCAGGUCCAGACAUAGUAAGGAUUGACAGAUUGAUAGCUCUU
rnacentral:rRNA from 1 species